rnacentral:rRNA from 1 species
UACGUAGGUGGCAAGCGUUGUCCGGAUUUACUGGGCGUAAAGAGCGCGCAGGCGGUCGGAUCAGUCGAAUGUGAAAGCCCCCCGGCUCAACUGGGGAGGGUCAUUCGAUACUGCCGUGCUUGAGGACUGGAGAGGAGACUGGAAUUUACGGUGUAGCGGUGAAAUGCGUAGAUAUCGUAAGGAAGACCAGUGGCGAAGGCGGGUCUCUGGACAGUUCCUGACGCUGAGGCACGAAGGCCAGGGGAGCAAACGGG